rnacentral:rRNA from 1 species
AGCAGCAGUGGGGAAUAUUGCACAAUGGGCGCAAGCCUGAUGCAGCCAUGCCGCGUGUGUGAAGAAGGCCUUCGGGUUGUAAAGCACUUUCAGUUGUGAGGAAGGUGGUGUCGUUAAUAGACGGCAUCAUUUUGACGUUUAGCAACAGAAGAAGCACCGGCUAACUCCGUGCCAGCAGCCGCGGUAAUACGGAGGGUGCAAGCGUUAAUCGGAAUUACUGGGCGUAAAGCGCGCGUAGGUGGUUCGUUAAGUUGGAUGUGAAAUCCCCGGGCUCAACCUGGGAACUGCAUCCAAAACUGGCGAGCUAGAGUAUGGUAGAGGGUGGUGGGAAGUUUCCUGUGUAGCGGUGAAAUAGCGUAGAUAUAGGAAGGAACAACCAGUGGCGAAGGCGACCACCCUCGGACUGAUACUGACACUGAGGUGCGAAAGACGUGGGGAGGCAAACAGGAUUAGAUACCCUGGUAG